rnacentral:lncRNA from 10 species
UGCGGGCAGGGGCCUCAGGGAGAGGGCAGUGUCUUCUCCAUGCCUGUGUCCCUGCCUUCUGACCCUCUCAGUCAGCUCAGGGGUGUCUCCCCAGCUGGAAAAAAAGAACAGGCCCCUAUCCAGAGCCCAGCACAGAGUAGGUAUUUGGUGGCAGAAUUGGGGACCUGGAGUACCCUGGGUAAGGGGAGACUGGACUUCUUGGCCUAGUGGUUAUGAGUUGAGGCCUGGCCUACUUCCGACCUGAAAGAUAUUUCACAGGUGACUUGACUUGUUCCUGUGUCCUGAGGCCCAAGUGACUGCAUCCUUUCCCAGUCCUUCCCUGGCCCAGCCUUCAGCACAUGCAUAAGUGACCCAGACGUGCCACCUUAAGAGCUGUAACACUCGCCGCGAGGGUCCCUGACUUCGUCUCCUACUAUCUCACUCCCCUUC